rnacentral:rRNA from 1 species
AGCGAACGCUGGCGGCAUGCUUAACACAUGCAAGUCGCACGGGCAGCAAUGUCAGUGGCGGACGGGUGGGUAACGCGUCGGAACGUGUCCUGAGGUGGGGGACAACCCCGGGAUACUGGGGCUAAUACCGCAUAUGGGCUGAGGCCCAAAGCCGAGAGGGGCCUGUGGAGCGGCCUGCGUCCGAUUCGGUAGUUGGUGGGGUAGGGGCCUACCAAGCCUGCGAUCGGUAGCUGGUCUGGGAGGACGACCGGCCACACUGGGACUGAGAUACGGCCCAGACCCCGACGGGAGGGGGAGGCGGGGAAGGGGAAAAAAGGGGAGGGGGCCAAAGGCAGCACCGGCGAGUGCGGGAUGAUGGAGAUGGGUUUGUAAACCGAAAUCCCUUUUGACGGGGCGUGAGUGACGGUAACCGGUAAAGAAGCCCCGGCUAACUUCGUG